rnacentral:tRNA from 1 species
GAGGGUAUAGCUCAGUGGUAGAGUGUGUGCUUAGCGUGCACGAGGUCCUGGGUUCAAUCCCCAGUACCUCCA